AAUUGGGUCAAACAGGAUGUGUUAGAUGUGAAGUUCUCGCUGGUUUUAAGCCAAAUUUGUAAUGACUAAAGUUGCGGAAAACUAUAAAUGAAUCGGCCAACAUUAACUGGAAGUGUGCAAGACUUUAUAUCCUCCACUUGUUGAGGCUCCAUACCGCUGAUUUGAAGAGGUAAGCUACAAAUAAGACGCAGAAGAACAUAGACUCCCGGCCCUGAAGCACAGUGCGUAGACUCCCAUGUGCCUCAGGCUGGUCUCUUCGGUCUGAUGGCUCCCAGCAGGUGGGUGAACUCAGGAUGAAAUCCUUCUUGGCACAUUCAGCAUGCUGAAUAUUAGGCUGAUUGCAUUCAAUGGCCAAGAAUACAUCGUUAACAUUUAUACGGAGUUGUUUGAGACCCAUUUAAUUUUUUCUCUCUCUCUCGAAAGUUUCUGUAUGUUUUUUUUGUUUUUUCUUAACCUCAUGUUUUAAUAAUUUUCACCCCAAAAGUGGUGGGGAAAUAAAUAUUUAUUAAUUGGAAAAAGUCCCAUUUUAACAUAUCUUGCAAAACUGCGUUGAAAUAUAACAAAAACGUAACAUAUUGUGUAAUUGUUUGAGAGAUCCAUUUCCAUUCAGUAAUUUUUGUCUGAUUAUUCAAACAUAUUAUGAAAAUAACAUCAGUUAUUAAAAUGUUGAUUACUCGUAGUUCACAGUGUUUCCAAUUAGAACGAAUGUAAUCAAAAGUGUGACAUAUAUGAUGUGCUGUUAAAAAUAAACUGAACAUACACUCGGCUUUUGCCAGCUACUUAACCACAUAAAUCCAUCAUCGGCUAAUAUGUAAUAUACUUGGCCAGUCUUUUGCGCAUUGUACUUCUAAACCUG